rnacentral:rRNA from 1 species
AUUGAACGCUGGCGGCAGGCCUAACACAUGCAAGUCGAACGGUAGCACAGAGAGCUUGCUCUCGGGUGACGAGUGGCGGACGGGUGAGGAAUGUCUGGGAAACUGCCUGAUGGAGGGGGAUAACUGCUGGAAACGGUAGCUAAUACCGCAUAACGUCGCAAGACCAAAGAGGGGGACCUUCGGGCCUCUUGCCAUCAGAUGUGCCCAGAUGGGAUUAGCUAGUAGGUGGGGUAACGGCUCACCUAGGCGACGAUCCCUAGCUGGUCUGAGAGGAUGACCAGCCACACUGGAACUGAGACACGGUCCAGACUCCUACGGGAGGCAGCAGUGGGGAAUAUUGCACAAUGGGCGCAAGCCUGAUGCAGCCAUGCCGCGUGUAUGAAGAAGGCCUUCGGGUUGUAAAGUACUUUCAGCGGGGAGGAAGGUGUUGUGGUUAAUAACCGCAGCAAUUGACGUUACCCGCAGAAGAAGCACCGGCUAACUCCGUGCCAGUCGCCGCGGUAA